UACGAGGGGGGCAAGCGUUGUUCGGAAUUACUGGGCGUAAAGGGCGCGUAGGCGGCCUGCUAAGUCGAACGUGAAAUCCCCGGGCUCAACCCGGGAACUGCGUCCGAUACUGGCAGGCUUGAAUCCGGGAGAGGGAUGUGGAAUUCCAGGUGUAGCGGUGAAAUGCGUAGAUAUCUGGAGGAACACCGGUGGCGAAGGCGGCAUCCUGGACCGGCAUUGACGCUGAGGCGCGAAGGCCAGGGGAGCAAACGGG
rnacentral:rRNA from 1 species